UAUGAACACAUUGACAGCAACACCACGUCCUACUCCUUGUACGUCUAUAAGUACAUCUGCCAUUAAUUCCCAGGGAUCCAUAUCUGCGUACUCCAAGGAGAAUCAUUUCCUCAGGAUAUAAAAGGCGGAGCUAAGAGCACAGGGCUGGACUGACAAACUCAAAGAAGCCGUGAACCAUUUACUCUGCACACUGAGAGAAUCCCUCCAGACCUGAUACUGUCUCUCUCAAAACAGGACCUUCCAACCUGAAUGACUCUGGAUUAAAAGAAAACACACAUGAGGAUUAAAACGCAAGACAUUGAGGAAACUUGUUUGGCAGAUUUUUUUCUCCUUCUGUUUUUAUCGGGUGAGACUUCAUGUGUGACGUGCUUUCCUUGCCUUUUCAGAAAUACAGUACUUAUGCUCUAUAUGCAGAGCUUGUAAUUCAUAUUUGCUAAUUACCUGGCAAGUGUAUUUGACUGUUCAAAUGGAAAACGCUACUGCAUCUCCCUACCAACUUAUUGAUGACUGUGAUGCCUCAGACACAACACUGUAUAAAUUCUAUGCAGCUGUUAUGAUUGUGAUUUUCAUCCUGGCUUUGCCUCUGAACGCAUCUGUCCUCCACCUCUUCAUAUUCAAGCUGAAAUUCUGGAAAUCCAACUCCAAUAACAUCUUCCUUUUCAACCUGGUGUUGGCUGAUAUUCUCCUGAUCUUCUGUUUGCCCAUAAAGGCAUAUAAUUACAUCCAAGGAGAGAGGAGGAUUGAGAAUGACGCGGUUUGCAAAGCCAUGCUCUUCAUGUUGUUUUUAAACCGAGGGGGGAGCAUUGCCUUUCUGACUGUGAUUUCCAUUGAUCGAUAUCUUCACGUGGUACACCUUGGUCGAAGGAAUCUCCUAAAAGUUCUCAAGAAAUCGGGUCUGAUCUCGAUCCUCAUCUGGCUGCUUCUUGUGCCUCUAACCAUCCCAACCAUGCUCAAAAAUUAUGAUUGCUGCCACAGCCCAAAUGAAGAUGAUACGAUAAUUAAGGAAGUUGACAUUAUACGAGAAUUCAUCUUCUUCACCAAGAUUGUCAUCCCCUUCGUCAUCUUGGUGUACUGCACAGUGCGCAUCGUCAACAAGCUCAGGAAACAAACAAUCGGGGAUACAACCAAGCUGAAGAGAGCAGUCUUCCUGGUAACGUGCGUUAUGGUGGUCUUCUCCUUCAGCUUCCUCCCUUGCACGAUAGCCAGGAUGGUUCUGCUGAUUGCCCAGGUCGACAAGUGGCCCGAAAAAUACGAGGACAAAGCUGCUGUGGCCUUUGACGGCCUCAUGGUCCUCUCCUAUAUAAACUGUUUGCUGGAUCCGCCGGUCUACUGCUUCUCUAGCACCAAGUUUAAAGGCCUUUAUCUCUCGACUUAUUUCCCAUUCCUUAUAAAAAAAGUGCCAUUGCAAAGCUUAAGGGUAAACACAAUACAACGUCCACACAACGAUGUUAUUGGAAAUUAAUGGAAAAAGAGGCUGUUUGUCUGUGUGGUCACACAUGUCCAACCCAACAGGAUUACUACCAGAGACUGACAGUUUGUCCCAAAAAAAGACAUACUGACUGAAAGGGUCAAGUGCGCCUUGAAGACAAGAAGUCCAGUUUCAAUUGAUUCUUCAAUAGAAAUUAUUUAAAGGCACAUAUGUAAAUAGAAAGAUCUGGUUUGUGUGUUCAUCAGCAUUGUGUAAAUAUACACUGUACAGUAGUAGUGAGGGGGGUGCCCCUCAGCCAAAGUAUGCACAUCUGUUUUUCUGUUUGUCUUGGACAGGGAGUAUUUAUGACCAUGAGAAAUUCCUUUAAAGCGUUAAAAUAACAGUAAUCUUAUUUUUUUCAAAUCCAUACGAAUCUCACACAACCUUUCCAUCAACUUCCACGGUUAUACAACCAUUAGUGUUUAAUGGCAUCAGAAACUAUAACCAUGUCACCCGAAAAUCUUGUCAAAUGUAUUUUUCAUGAAGCCAUAAAUGGUAAUAAAUUUCAAACUAAGGGAACUAAAAAGAAAGAGGUAUCAAAUACGUGCCUGAGCACUGACUCCAAAAUAGACACAUAUUAGGCCAUGGUCAGUCAAAACUCAAUCCUAAAAGCCCAUGAAGCUGAUUCUUAAUGUUGAAUGAUUAUUGAAUUGUAUAACUGUUCAUACUUAAUGUAGAGCAGUAGUUCCCAAACUUUGGGGGCCAGUGAGUUAUAAGGGGAGGCGGGGCGAAGCAAAAUAUCAAUAAAUAAUGCAUGGUUCUAAUACACUGCUAGUUUGUAAAAGGACUGCCGGGUUAACGUAAAGCAGACGAUGAAACCACACCAAAAACACCAAAAGUACCAAAACAAAGGCAAGAAAAUACAUUGUGGGUAACACAAUUUGAUCUAAGGAGCCGACUGUCUAUUUUUGAGUCGAAUCUGACAGUAUCGGUGACUAUCCCUUAAAAACAACUGAUUGUUGAGUAUCUCUCUAUCUCUCUCUCUCUCUCUCUCUCUCUCUCUCUGGGGUCCGGUGAUUCUAGGUUUAAUUCAAUGUAAAUUUGACUCAUCUGUGUGUUAAAAAUGCAUCAUUGUGUACUGUAUCAUAAAAUAAGUCAAUGC